rnacentral:rRNA from 1 species
UACGUAGGGUGCGAGCGUUGUCCGGAAUUAUUGGGCGUAAAGAGCUCGUAGGCGGUUUGUCGCGUCGGCCGUGAAAUCUCCACGCUUAACGUGGAGCGUGCGGUCGAUACGGGCAGACUUGAGUUCGGUAGGGGAGACUGGAAUUCCUGGUGUAGCGGUGAAAUGCGCAGAUAUCAGGAGGAACACCGGUGGCGAAGGCGGGUCUCUGGGCCGAUACUGACGCUGAGGCACGAAAGCGUGGGGAGCAAACAGG